rnacentral:rRNA from 1 species
GCUUAGCCGUAAACAAAAACGGUAUAAACCACAACACCGUUCGCCAGAGAACUACAAGCACUAAACUCAAAACUCCAAGGACUUGGCGGUGCUCCAAUCAACCUAGAGGAGCCUGUCCUAUAAUCGAUACUCCCCGAUCUACCUCACCAGCCAUUGUAACUCAGCCUAUAUACCGCCGUCGUCAGCCUACCUUAUGAAAGAACCAAAGUAAGCAUAAUAGUUAUUAACUAAAACGUCAGGUCAAGGUGUAGCAUAUGGGCUGGAAGAGAUGGGCUACACUCUCUAAGCUAGAGAACACGAAUAGCAUAAUGAAAUACUGCUUAAAGGCGGAUUUAGUAGUAAGACAAAUAAGAGAGUUUGUCUUAAACAAGCCCUGGAGCGCGC